GACGAACCGUGCGAACGUUGUUCGGAAUCACUGGGCUUAAAGGGUGCGUAGGCGGCCAAUUAAGUAGGGUGUGAAAGGCUUCGGCUCAACCGGAGCAUUGCGCUCUAGACUGCUUGGCUCGAGUGAGAUAGGGGUGUGCGGAACUUCCAGUGGAAGCGGUGAAAUGUGUUGAUAUUGGAAGGAACGCCGGUGGCGAAAGCGGCACACUGGGUCUUAACUGACGCUGAGGCACGAAAGCCAGGGGAGCGAACGGG
rnacentral:rRNA from 1 species